rnacentral:rRNA from 1 species
GGGUUGUGAGGUUAAGCGACUAAGCGUACACGGUGGAUGCCCUGGCAGUCAGAGGCGAUGAAGGACGUGCUAAUCUGCGAUAAGCGCCGGUAAGGUGAUAUGAACCGUUAUAACCGGCGAUUUCCGAAUGGGGAAACCCAGUGUGACUCGUCACACUAUCAUUAACUGAAUCCAUAGGUUAAUGAGGCGAACCGGGGGAACUGAAACAUCUAAGUACCCCGAGGAAAAGAAAUCAACCGAGAUUCCCCCAGUAGCGGCGAGCGAACGGGGAGGAGCCCAGAGCCUGAAUCAGCAUGUGUGUUAGUGGAAGCGUCUGGAAAGGCGCGCGAUACAGGGUGACAGCCCCGUACACAAAAGCGCAUGUGCUGUGAGCUCGAUGAGUAGGGCGGGACACGUGGUAUCCUGUCUGAAUAUGGGGGGACCAUCCUCCAAGGCUAAAUACUCCUGACUGACCGAUAGUGAACCAGUACCGUGAGGGAAAGGCGAAAAGAACCCCGGCGAGGGGAGUGAAAAAGAACCUGAAACCGUGUACGUACAAGCAGUGGGAGCAUCCUUCGGGGUGUGACUGCGUACCUUUUGUAUAAUGGGUCAGCGACUUAUAUUCUGUAGCAAGGUUAACCGUAUAGGGGAGCCGCAGGGAAACCGAGUCUUAACCGGGCGUUAAGUUGCAGGGUAUAGACCCGAAACCCGGUGAUCUAGCCAUGGGCAGGUUGAAGGUUGGGUAACACUAACUGGAGGACCGAACCGACUAAUGUUGAAAAAUUAGCGGAUGACCUGUGGCUGGGGGUGAAAGGCCAAUCAAACCGGGAGAUAGCUGGUUCUCCCCGAAAGCUAUUUAGGUAGCGCCUCGUGAAUUCAUCUUCGGGGGUAGAGCACUGUUUCGGCUAGGGGGCCAUCCCGGCUUACCAACCCGAUGCAAACUGCGAAUACCGGAGAAUGUUAUCACGGGAGACACACGGCGGGUGCUAACGUCCGUCGUGAAGAGGGAAACAACCCAGACCGCCAGCUAAGGUCCCAAAGUCAUGGUUAAGUGGGAAACGAUGUGGGAAGGCCCAGACAGCCAGGAUGUUGGCUUAGAAGCAGCCAUCAUUUAAAGAAAGCGUAAUAGCUCACUGGUCGAGUCGGCCUGCGCGGAAGAUGUAACGGGGCUAAACCAUGCACCGAAGCUGCGGCAGCGACGCUGAUGCGUUGUUGGGUAGGGGAGCGUUCUGUAAGCCUGUGAAGGUGGCCUGUGAGGGUUGCUGGAGGUAUCAGAAGUGCGAAUGCUGACAUAAGUAACGAUAAAGCGGGUGAAAAGCCC